CUAUAAAAUUAGCAUAUGGAAAAUUUAAUAUCAUCAAGUGCUGGAAGUGAAGUAGAUUUUGAGUCAGAUGAUGAUUAUUUGUAUAACAGCAAUCACAACUCGGAGACAGAGGAGGACAAUAUAGAUAUUAUGUGUGUGAAGAUAGCUAUAAAUAUUGUCACAGUAAAGAUGGAAAAACUAAAUGUAAUAUGGAAUGCCUUACACAAAAAGGACAAGAUCCCAUAAUAUAAUAUUAUAUUUGCCAGGGGUUAAAUCUCAUGCAAAAAAUGCAAAAUCACCAUAGAAAGCCUC